rnacentral:rRNA from 1 species
UACAGAGGUCUCAAGCGUUGUUCGGAUUCAUUGGGCGUAAAGGGUGCGUAGGCGGCGCGGUAAGUCGGGUGUGAAAUCUCGGGGCUUAACUCCGAAACUGCAUUCGAUACUGCCGUGCUUGAGGACUGGAGAGGAGACUGGAAUUUACGGUGUAGCGGUGAAAUGCGUAGAUAUCGUAAGGAAGACCAGUGGCGAAGGCGGGUCUCGUGGACAGUUCCUGACGUGAGG